UUCUACUGGGCCCACCCAUAACCACAGCCAUACUCUGGACCUGGUUAUUACCAAGGGGCUUUCUACUGUGCCCACCCAUAACCACAGCCAUACUCUGGACCUGGUUAUUACCAAGGGGCUUUCUACUGGGCCCACCCAUAACCACAGCCAUACCCUCGACCUGGUUAUUACCAAGGGGCUUUCUACUGGGUCCACCCAUAACCACAGCCAUACUCUGGACCUGGUUAUUACCAAGGGGCUUUCAACUGGGCCCACCCAUAACCACAGCCAUACUCUGGACCUGGUUAUUACCAAGGGGCUUUCUACUGUACCCACCCAUAACCACAGCGGCACUAGAGACCUGGUUAUUACCAAGGGGCUUUCUACUGGGUCCCCAUGUCACCACAGCCAAACUAUAGACCUGAUUAUUACCAAGGGGCUUUAUACUGGGCCCACCCAGAACCGCAGCCAUACUCUGGACCUGGUUAUUGCCAAGGGGCUUUCUACUGUACCCACCCAUAACCAAACCAAUACUCUGGGCCUGGUUAUUACCAAGGGGCUUUCAACUGGGCCCACCCAUAACCACAGCCAUACUUUGGACCUGGUUUUUACCAAGGGGCUUUCUACUGGGCCCAACCACAACCACAGCCAUACUAUGGACCUGGUUAUUACCAGAGGGGCUUUCUACUGGGCCCACCCAUAACCACAGCCAUACUCUGGACCUGGUUAUUGCCAAGGGGCUUUCUACUGGGCCCACCCAUAACCACAGCCAUACUCUGGACUGGUUAUUACCAAGGGGCUUUCUACUGGCCCACCCAUAACCACAGCCGUACUCUGGACCUGGUUAUUACCAAGGGGCUUUCUACUGGGCCCACCCAUAACCACAGCCAUACUCUGGACUGGUUAUUACCAAGGGGCUUUCUACUGGCCCACCCAUAACCACAGCCGUACUCUGGACCUGGUUAUUACCAAGGGGCUUUCUACUGGGCCCACCCAUAACCACAGCCAUACUCUGGACCUGGUUAUUACCAAGGGGCUUUCUACUGGCCCACCCAUAACCAAGGGGCUUUCUACUGGGUCCACUAUAGACCUGAUUUCUACUGGGCCCACCCAUAACCACAGCCAUACUCUGGACUGGUUAUUACCAAGGGGCUUUCUACUGGCCCACCCAUAACCACAGCCAUACUCUGGACUGGUUAUUACCAAGGGGCUUUCUACUGGGUCCACUAUAGACCUGAUUUCUACUGGGCCCACCCAUAACCACAGCCAUACUCUGGACCUGGUUAUUACCAAGGGGCUUUCUACUGGGCCCACCCAUAACCACAGCCAUACUCUGGACUGGUUAUUACCAAGGGGCUUUCUACUGGGCCCACCCAUAACCACAGCCAUACUCUGGACCUGGUUAUUACCAAGGGGCUUUCUACUGGGCCCACCCAUAACCACAGCCAUACUCUGGACUGGUUAUUACCAAGGGGAUUUCUACUGGGCCCACCCAUAACCACAGCCAUACUCUGGACUGGUUAUUACCAAGGGGCUUUCUACUGGUCCCACCCAUAACCACAGCCAUACUCUGGACUGGUUAUUACCAAGGGGCUUUCUACUGACAUAUCCUGUAUUGUUGUUGCUUUAUCUGAUCACCACUGGGGAUUUAUACUACCUUGUUGCCCAUAGAACAGGGUAAUACUGAACACAUUAUUAAGAAACACUAUCUGACCUCUGAAGUUGCUACAGAUUUUAUUGAGUUAAUGAACACCACCUAUAUUCCACCACCUGUUCUGCCUUCCUCUUGUGGUGAUUUAGUUGAUAACUUUAAUAGCAAAUUAAGGGCAACCAUUGAUGCCAUAGAUCCAGUAACGUUGAAAAAGGACACAUCCAAACGGAGAGGCCCUUGGAUGACUGAGGAAACUAAUAAAUUAAAGAGAAAUUGCAGAAAGACGGAGUGGAAUUGGAUGAAGUCAAAGUUGCAGGUCCAUUAUGAUAUUCUGAGAGAGCAUCAUAUAUAACAAGGCCAUUAGAAAUGAGAGAGCAUCAUAUAUAACAAGGCCAUUAGAAAUGAGAGAGCAUCAUAUAUAACAAGGCCAUUAGAAAUGAGAGAGCAUCAUAUAUAACAAGGCCAUUAGAAAUGAGAGAGCAUCAUAUAUAACAAGGCCAUUAGAAAUGAGAGAGCAUCAUAUAUAACAAGGCCAUUAGAAAUGAGAGAGCAUCAUAUAUAACAAGGCCAUUAGAAAUGAGAGAGCAUCAUAUAUAACAAGGCCAUUAGAAAUGAGAGAGCAUCAUAUAUUACAAGGCCAUUAGAAAUGAGAGAGCAUCAUAUAUAACAAGGCCAUUAGAAAUGAGAGAGCAUCAUAUAUAACAAGGCCAUUAGAAAUGAGAGAGCAUCAUAUAUUACAAGGCCAUUAGAAAUGAGAGAGCAUCAUAUAUAACAAGGCCAUUAGAAAUGAGAGAGCAUCAUAUAUAACAAGGCCAUUAGAAAUGAGAGAGCAUCAUAUAUAACAAGGCCAUUAGAAAUGAGAGAGCAUCAUAUAUUACAAGGCCAUUAGAAAUGAGAGAGCAUCAUAUAUUACAAGGCCAUUAGAAAUGCCAGAUGGGCUCAUUUUACUAACUUGAUCACCAAUAAUCAGAAUAAUUAGAGAGUGCUCUUCUCCACCAUUGAUGGCCUGAUAAAUCCUACCUCCGCAAACCUAUGUGAACUUUCCUCUACAUGUAAAUGUGAUGAGUUUACAGCAUAUUUCAGAGAUAAGAUAUCCAACAUUAGACUGGGUAUCAGUCAAGACCUGAUGAGAAGUCUGAUGAUAUGUGCACUAGCCUACCACACAAAGGCACUAUGGAUUUAUUUUCCCUGGUUGACACAGACAUGGUCAGGAAAGUGACAUCACAACUUGACCUUCCACCUGCCUUCUCCAUCCUAUCCCCACCACCUUCUUCAAAACAGUUUUUAAUGGCAUAUCUGAAGAAGUGCAAGCUAUUGUUAAUCACUCCCUGUUUAUGGGAACUUUCCCCACUGCACUAAAAACUGAUAUGGUGAAACCCCUUCUGAAGAAAAGGAUUCUAGAUUCUUCAGCUCUUAGAAGUUAUCAGUCUCCAACCUCUUAAGCAGAAUUCUAUUAGUUGGUGUUCCAACAGCUAAAUUAGAUUCUAGAUUCCUCAGCUCUUAGAAGUUAUCAGUCUCCAACCUCUUAAGCAGAAUUCUAUUAGUUGGUGUUCCAACAGCUAAAUUAGAUUCUAGAUUCCUCAGCUCUUAGAAGUUAUCAGUCUCCAACCUCUUAAGCAGAAUUCUAUUAGUUGGUGUUCCAACAGCUAAAUUAUUACCUCAAAUGAAGUUAGAGCACUGAUUAUGCUUUUGAAUCCCAAGGAGCACCAUUUUGUUUCUCUCCGUCACCCACGCUCACUUUAAACAUUUGGAUGAUAGUUAUAUAAAAGACAUAAUUAUAUCACAGACCCGAUUUGCCCUAACGGAAAAUGACAUGAAAAGCACACAUUUGUAAAUCCCAAACUCUAAAAGUAAUUGUAAAGGUAGAUGCAAAUGAUUUGUGACAUUGUGGUUUCAAUAAAGAAUGUAAACAAGAUGCUGUGUUUUUAUUUACAGUAAUGAUGGACAACUGGAGUCAUUUUGAAAAGUUUUUCACAAGUGUACUGUAGUACUGCAGCAGGUGUAGUACUGUAGUACUGUAAUACUGUAGCAGGUGUAGUACUGUAGUACUGUAGCAGGUGUAGUACUGUAGCAGGUGUAGUACUGUAGUACUGUAGCAGGUGUAGUACUGUAGUACUGUAGCAGGUGUAGUGCUGUAGUACUGUAGCAGGUGUAGUACUGUAGUACUGUAGCAGGUGUAGUACUGUAGUAUGUGUAGUACUGUAGCAGGUGUAGUGCUGUAGUACCGUAGCAGGAAUAGUACUGUAGUAGGUGUAGAACUGUAGUGCUGUAGUACUGUAGCUGGUGUAGUGCUGUAGUACUGUAGCAGGUGUAGUACUGUAGUACUGUAGCAGGUGUAGUACUGUGGUACUGUAGCAGGUGUAGUACUGUAGCAGGUGUAGUACUGUAGCAGGUGUAGUCCAUCAAACAAUGUUUCCUAUUAGCAGGACAAUAGACUCUUCAUAGCCCAACUGUUGUAAUUGUGAAAAUCCCCAAAUUUGC
rnacentral:lncRNA from 1 species